GACGAACGCUGGCGGCGUGCCUAAUACAUGCAAGUAGAACGCACAGUUUAUACCGUAGCUUGCUACACCAUAAACUGUGAGUUGCGAACGGGUGAGUAACGCGUAGGUAACCUGCCUGGUAGCGGGGGAUAACUAUUGGAAACGAUAGCUAAUACCGCAUAAUAUUGAUUAUUGCAUGAUAAUUGAUUGAAAGAUGCUAUUGCAUCACUACCAGAUGGACCUGCGUUGUAUUAGCUAGUAGGUGAGGUAACGGCUCACCUAGGCGACGAUACAUAGCCGACCUGAGAGGGUGAUCGGCCACGCUGGGACUGAGACACGGCCCAGACUCCUACGGGAGGCAGCAGUAGGGAAUCUUCGGCAAUGGACGAAAGUCUGACCGAGCAACGCCGCGUGAGUGAAGAAGGUUUUCGGAUCGUAAAGCUCUGUUGUAAGAGAAGAACGGGUGUGAGAGUGGAAAGUUCACACUGUGACGGUAUCUUACCAGAAAGGGACGGCUAACUACGUG
rnacentral:rRNA from 1 species